GGAAUGCGUUGGUGUUGGUGGUGAUAAAGGGGAACAAAGAAUUUCAAUAUCACUUGACACAUUUUUUGCUGUUUCAAGAGGAUAAGAAAGGGAUAAUGAUCGAGAAACACGAAGAGGUGAGCACAGUGAAAACGCAAAAGAUUGAUGGAUGAGUGACUGGUGGUGAGUGCAAAAACGACUGAUAUU
ensembl:ncRNA F58B4.11 ncRNA